CGNNGAAGGGGAGCUUGCUUCCUGGAUCAGUGGCGAACGGGUGAGUAACACGUGAGCAACCUGCCCCGGACUCUGGGAUAACAGUUGGAAACAGCUGCUAAUACCGGAUAUGCACCAUGGAGGCAUCUUCAAUGGUGGGAAAGAAUUUCGGUCUGGGAUGGGCUCGCGGCCUAUCAGCUUGUUGGUGAGGUAAUGGCUCACCAAGGCGUCGACGGGUAGCCGGCCUGAGAGGGUGACCGGCCACACUGGGACUGAGACACGGCCCAGACUCCUACGGGAGGCAGCAGUGGGGAAUAUUGCACAAUGGGCGAAAGCCUGAUGCAGCAACGCCGCGUGAGGGAUGACGGCCUUCGGGUUGUAAACCUCUUUUAGCAGGGAAGAAGCGAAAGUGACGGUACCUGCAGAAAAAGCGCCGGCUAACUACGUGCCAGCAGCCGCGGUAAUACGUAGGGCGCAAGCGUUAUCCGGAAUUAUUGGGCGUAAAGAGCUCGUAGGCGGUUUGUCGCGUCUGCUGUGAAAACCCGAGGCUCAACCUCGGGCCUGCAGUGGGUACGGGCAGACUAGAGUGCGGUAGGGGAGAUUGGAAUUCCUGGUGUAGCGGUGGAAUGCGCAGAUAUCAGGAGGAACACCGAUGGCGAAGGCAGAUCUCUGGGCCGUAACUGACGCUGAGGAGCGAAAGGGUGGGGAGCAAACAGGCUUAGAUACCCUGGUAGUCCACCCCGUAAACGUUGGGAACUAGUUGUGGGGACCUUUCCACGGUCUCCGUGACGCAGCUAACGCAUUAAGUUCCCCGCCUGGGGAGUACGGCCGCAAGGCUAAAACUCAGAGGAAUUGACGGGGACCCGCACAAGCGGCGGAGCAUGCGGAUUAAUUCGAUGCAACGCGAAGAACCUUACCAAGGCUUGACAUAUAGAGGAAACGGCUGGAAACAGUCGCCCCGCAAGGUCUCUAUACAGGUGGUGCAUGGUUGUCGUCAGCUCGUGUCGUGAGAUGUUGGGUUAAGUCCCGCAACGAGCGCAACCCUCGUUCUAUGUUGCCAGCACGUAAUGGUGGGAACUCAUGGGAUACUGCCGGGGUCAACUCGGAGGAAGGUGGGGAUGACGUCAAAUCAUCAUGCCCCUUAUGUCUGGGCUUCMGCAUGCUACAUGGCCGGUACAAGGGCUGCAWWCC
rnacentral:rRNA from 1 species